GCCCAGAUGGUGGAAUUGGUAGACACGCAUGCUUCAGGUGCAUGUGCCCGUAAGGGCGUGGAAGUUCGAGUCUUCUUCUGGGCA
rnacentral:tRNA from 1 species